GAGAGAACUGAUGGUAAUCUGGAAGCAAAUCUAAGGAGUGUCUCCUUUUCCUGAGAAGCUGGAUGUUACCGGCAAUUCCUCAUGGUUAUACCGUGCUUCCUCUCUUGCACAUGAUCGAGAUCUUCAAAGUGAGCAUCUUUCAAAGGAGCGACAAGCAAAAUACAGCUGCAGGAGCAGUAACUCCCUGUUCAGCAGCUUUGCCUGCUGUCACUGUUGACUGCUGGAGGUGGUGAUCCAUGUCAGUCACUAAAACGACACCUUGGCAAGACUGCAAUCUGUUCCCAGAGUUUCUGUGUAUGGCAACACUUUUAGAUAAUGAGGUUUUCAUAUAUUCUCAGCAUCUCACACAGUGCCUGGAACAUAGUCCCCCAAGAGCCUCACAAAACCCAGGGCAGCCAGUCUCAGGUGAACCAGGGUGGUGGUCCAUGGUUCCUGACUCUUGCCUAAACUUCUUUCUGGAUUCUUAUUGUCUACAAUCUU